GAUGAAGAACGCAGCGAAAUGCGAUAAGUAAUGUGAAUUGCAGAAUUCAGCGAAUCAUCGAAUCUUUGAACGCACAUUGCGCCCAUUAGUAUUCUAGUGGGCAUGCCUGUUCGAGCGUCAUUAAUUCCACUUAAGCCCUGCUUAGUGUUGGGAAUCUACUCUAGUGGUGCUACCCUGGAGCUACCCCUGAAAGGGGGCUGGCCCGGUAGCUACCCUGUAGUUCCUCAAAGAUAGUGCGCGGAGUUGCGUGGUCCUCUGAGCUUAGUAACUAUACACCUAGCUUUUGAGUGUCCCGCGGCGCCUGCCGUUUAAACCCCAUCUUUUAAUGGUUGACCUCGGAUCAGGUAGGAAUACCCGCUGAACUUAAGCAUAUCAAUAAGCGGAGGA
rnacentral:misc_RNA from 1 species